rnacentral:snRNA from 1 species
GAAAGAGUUCUGACUGUGACAUUUGUCACCACUAAACCCCAGCGUUGAUUCAGCUAUCUGUCCAGUCACGUGGGUUGUUCCCUGUCUGGUCCGGCGUGUCCCUCCUGAAGCUGAAUGUUCCAGGUCAGCCUUCCCAGGAGGAGAGCCCCCUCUCUGGUCAAUGUAGAGAGGAGCCGCCAUCUGCUAGAACCUCUGAACAAGAACCUGGGGGUCAUGGGUGGAGAACAGGGCGAUUCUCUCUCCCCAGACUCUGGGCACGUCCAAAUGUGUCGCUGCUCACUGGAGUCUGUUAUUUAUU